rnacentral:rRNA from 1 species
AGCGAACGCUGGCGGCAGGCCUAACACAUGCAAGUCGAACGGAACCUUCGGGGUUAGUGGCGGACGGGUGAGUAACACGUGGGAACGUGCCUUUAGGUUCGGAAUAGCUCCUGGAAACGGGUGGUAAUGCCGAAUGUGCCCUUCGGGGGAAAGAUUUAUCGCCUUUAGAGCGGCCGCGUCUGAUUAGCUAGUUGGUGAGGUAACGGCUCACCAAGGCGACGAUCAGUAGCUGGGCUGAGAGGAUGACCAGCCACACAGGGACUGGGACACGGCCCAGACUCCUACGGGAGGCAGCAGUGGGGAAUCUUGCGCAAUGGGCGAAAGCCUGACGCAGCCAUGCCGCGUGAAUGAUGAAGGUCUUAGGAUUGAAAAAUUCUUUCACCGGGGACGAUAAUGACGGUACCCGGAGAAGAAGCCCCGGCUAACUUCGUG